UACGAAGGGGGCUAGCGUUGCUCGGAAUCACUGGGCGUAAAGCGCACGUAGGCGGGUCUUUAAGUCAGGGGGUGAAAUCCCGGAGCUCAACUCCGGAACUGCCUUUGAUACUGAGGAUCUUGAGUUCGAGAGAGGUGAGUGGAACUGCGAGUGUAGAGGUGAAAUUCGUAGAUAUUCGCAAGAACACCAGUGGCGAAGGCGGCUCACUGGCUCGAUACUGACGCUGAGGUGCGAAAGCGUGGGGAGCAAACAGG
rnacentral:rRNA from 1 species